AGCGAACGCUGGCGGCAUGCUUAACACAUGCAAGUCGAGCGGGCACUCUCGGGUGUCGGCGGUCGACGGUUGAGUAACGCGUGGUAACGUGCCCUCUGAUUCGGAAUAUCUCAGGGAAACUUGAGCUAAUACCGGAUACGCCCUUUUGGGGAAAGGCUUGCUGCCGCAGGAUCGGCCCGAGUCUGAUUGUCUAGUUGGUGAGGUAACGUCACACCAAGGCGCCGAUCCGUAGCGGGGAUGUGAGGAUGUUCAGCCACACUGGGACUGAGCCACGGCAGAGACUCCUACGCGAGGCGGCAGUGGGGAAUAUUGCACCGUGGGGGCAGGCAUGAUGCUGCCAGGCCGGGUGAGUGAUGAUGGCAUUAGGGUUGUAAAGCGUUAUUAUCCGGGAAGAUAAUGACGGUACCGGAGGAAUAAGCCCCGGCUAACUUCGUG
rnacentral:rRNA from 1 species